AUUGAACGCUGGCGGCAUGCCUUACACAUGCAAGUCGAACGGCAGCACGGGAGCAAUCCUGGUGGCGAGUGGCGAACGGGUGAGUAAUACAUCGGAACGUGCCCAGUAGUGGGGGAUAACCCGGCGAAAGCCGGACUAAUACCGCAUACGACCUACGGGUGAAAGCGGGGGAUCGCAAGACCUCGCGCUAUCGGAGCGGCCGAUGUCAGAUUAGCUUGUUGGUGGGGAAAAGCCUACCAAGGCGACGAUCUGUAGCUGGUCUGAGAGGACGACCAGCCACAC
rnacentral:rRNA from 1 species